GGUCUGUUGGUCUAGUGGUAUGAUUCUCGCUUAGGGUACCUAAGUCUAUAUUGCGAGAGGUGAGUCCUAUUACUCUAUGUUUCAAUGUAGUGUCAUCUAAUAACUGUAAAGGUCCCGCGUUCGAGUCGCGGACAGACCC